rnacentral:tRNA from 1 species
GAGGGUAUAGCUCAGUGGUAGGGCACGUGCUUAGCAUGCACAAGGUCCUGGGUUCAAUCCCCAGUACCUCCA